rnacentral:rRNA from 1 species
GACGAACGCUGACGGUGUGCUUUAGACAUGCAAGUCGAACGAGAAAGCCCUUCGGGUUAGUAAAGUGGCGAACGGGUGAGUAACACGUGGGCAAUCUGCCCCUCGCAGGGGGACGAACCGGAGGAAACCCCGGCUAAUACCCCGUAAGUUCAAAGGGAGGCAUCUCCCCUUGAAGAAAGGUAGCUUCGGCCAUCCGGCGAGGGAUGAGCCCGCGGUGCAUUAGCUAGUUGGUGGGGUAACGGCCCACCAAGGCGACGAUGCAUAGCUGGUCUGAGAGGAUGAUCAGCCACACUGGGACUGAGACACGGCCCAGACUCCUACGGGAGGCAGCAGUCGGGAAUCUUGCGCAAUGGGCGAAAGCCUGACGCAGCAACACCGUGUGUGUGAGGAAGGCCC